rnacentral:rRNA from 1 species
AUGAUGUCGGAGGCCUUGUGUGCCGUGGCCGUGGCCGUACGAUCAUACCAUGAGUCCAUGACGACAGGUCACACGUACACGAGAUAUUUGCACGUACUGUGUACAAGGGAAAACAUGUCACACUUCGAGCUUCUAACACGUGGCAAUGGCAAAAAAAAAAAGGAGAUGAAGCACACACAAGGCAUGUAUAUUUCCCGGCGGCUAUGGCGGCGCCGUUUGGUUGGCCAUGGCGCCGACGAUGCAAAGCGCGUUGGCCGUGAGGUGCAGGAGGCCCGCGACGUGGCCGCGCACGGCCUCCCUGACGCCGCCGCCGCCGGCGGCCUCUCCCCGGAACCCUUCCAUGCACAUGUCGCCGUCGGUGAGGGCCGCGCUGGCCCACGUCCGCACGCUGUCCACCUGGAACCUCACCGUCCUCUCCUGCGGGUGGCCCUGCUCCGCCUCCGCCCCGACCUGCGCCAUGGCCUCCACCGACUGCCUCAGCAUGCCGACGGCGUCCCCGAGCAUGCUCACGCAGUCCCCCGCCGCCUCCGCCGCCACGGUCGGCAGGCGCCUGGCCGCCGCCAUGCCCCUCAUGGCCGCCGUCGCGUUCCUCGCGCCGGCGAGCGUCACGUUCAGCGCGGCGCACGCCAGCCGCGCCGGGCUGUCCCCCACCGCGGCCGCGUACGGCGAGAGCGUCGCGUCGCACAGCGCCGGGUACUCCGUCCCCGCGCACCACGCCUUGACGAAGCUCGCGUUGUUGCCGCCGCCCACGCCCGCGGCGGCCGACGGCGCCGCCGGCCGCGCCGCGGCGGCGAGGCCGCACCAGCACGAGAGGAGCAGCCACAGGCAGCCAACGGUGCGCGCCAUGGCUCCGGAACGAGCGCACGUACGUGGCUAAAUGUGGCAACGUGUCGAACUGUGUGGCGCGGUGUGUACGAGUUUUUUCGUGGAGCGCGCGGGGUUGUGGGGUUAUAUAGUGCGGGCGCGCGGCCGAGGGGAUAA